GUGGGGAAUCUUCCGCAAUGGACGAAAGUCUGACGGAGCAACGCCGCGUGAGUGAAGAAGGUUUUCGGAUCGUAAAGCUCUUUCGUUAGGGACGAACGUGCUCUUUGUGAAUAAUGAGGAGUAAUGACGGUACCUAAAUAAGAAGCCACGGCUAACUACGUGCCAGCAGCCGCGGUAAUACGUAGGUGGCAAGCGUUGUCCGGAAUUAUUGGGCGUAAAGCGCGCGCAGGCGGGAUAUCAAGUCUGUCUUAAAAGUGCGAGGCUCAACCUCGUGAGGGGAAAGAAACUGGUAUUCUUGAGUGUCGGAGAGGAAAGUGGAAUUCCAAGUGUAGCGGUGAAAUGCGUAGAGAUUUGGAAGAACACCAGUGGCGAAGGCGACUUUCUGGACGGUGUCUGACACUGAGGCGCGAAAGCCAGGGGAGCGAACGGGAUUAGAUACCCUAGUAGUCC
rnacentral:rRNA from 1 species